CAUUGCACGUUAAAAAUUUCAACUACAUAAUCUUCAAAUUAACCCCUCAUCCAAGAUCAAUCAAAUCUAAGAAACAAAACAUAAUGAAGUCUUCAAAUAUUCCCGCGAUCUUAGCCAUUUUCUCCAUGUGCUGUUUCAUUUGCUCAGCACGCAACGAGCCACAUGACUACCUAGACGCGCACAACGAGGCUCGUGCCGAGGUUGGUGUCGGUCCUCUCGAAUGGAGCCCUACCCUUGCAGAAAAGGAGAAAACCGUUUCUUCAUCUUCUUCCUCCUUUACCUUAUCCAAAGAUAUCAAUGGCCUCGAGAAAGUUGUUCUUCGUGAGGCUCGUGGUUCUUCCGCUGAGGUUUACCUUUACGGUGGUCACGUGACUUCUUGGAAGAAUGAACAUGCAGAUGAAUUGCUUUUUCUCAGUAGUAAGGCUAUCUUUAUGCCACCUAAGGCUAUUCGCGGAGGGAUUCCAAUAUGCUUUCCACAAUUUUCAAACCAUGGACCCUUGGGAUCACAUGGAUUUGCUAGAAAUCGGUUUUGGACCAUUGAAGAUAAUCCUCCUCCUUUUCCAACAAAUAAUUUGAGCAACGCCUUUGUUGAUUUGAUUCUUAAACCCUCUGUUGAAGACUUGAAAAUCUGGAAUCACAGUUUUGAGUACCGUCUGAGGGUAGCUUUGGGACCCGCAGGAGAUUUGAUGUUGACUUCUCGGAUUCGGAACACAAACAGUGAUGGAAAGCCAUUUUCGUUCACCUUUGCUUAUCAUACAUAUCUAUCUGUAUCAAACAUAAGUGAAGUUCGAGUUGAGGGAUUAGAGACCCUGGAUUAUCUUGACAACUUGCAGAACAAGACGCGUUUUACUGAACAGGGGGGUGCUUUGACGUUUGAAUCAGAAGUUGACAAGAUAUAUCUAAGUACUCCAACAAAGAUUGCAGUUAUUGAUCAUGAAAAAAAUAGGACAUUUGUUUUGCGUAAAGAUGGCAUUCCUGAUGCUGUGGUGUGGAAUCCUUGGGAUAAGAAAGCAAAGGCUAUGGCUGAUUUCGGCUAUGAUGAGUACAAGCAUAUGCUUUGUGUAGAGGCUGCUGCUAUUGAAAAGCCUAUCACUUUGAAACCUGGAGAAGAAUGGAGUGGAAGACUAGAGCUUUCAGCUGUUCCAUUUAGUUACUGUAGUGGGCAGCUUGAUCCCCAGAAAGUUCUUCAGUGCAGCUGAAAGAUCAUUGUUGCAUUCUGUGUCCUGUACAGUUCUCCGACCGUCCCUCCGCCACGACCUUCAUCUUCAAUUGCAGCUACGGCCGUCACUCCACCACGUUCUCCCUCCGCCUCUGGUUCGCCGUCUCCGCCUCAGGUUCGCCGUCUCAGCCGCUGGUUCGCCGUUCUCCCUCCGCCUCUGGUUCGCCGUCACCAGGUCUGACUGGAUUGAUAAUUUUGGAUCUCUUUGGAGCUCGUAUCAUUGACUCUGGUACUACAUAUUUACGAUGUUUCUCGUCCUAGUUCGACGUACAUCUCUCAUUCUCUACGUUUUCUUGAGUUCGGUAAAAUCCGAGCUUAAUUAAGACAUCGAUAAGACAUGGAUGAAUUCAAACCGACUGUCGAAAGAGUACGAAAAAGGGGUACGGGAGCUCGUUAAUUUGCGGUUGCGCACGCCAAAGACCCGAUUCGAAUGACAUGUCCUUGCUUGGAUUGCUGUUAUGGGGGUCAGGUUGACGGGAAUCAGUUGGCAUCGUAUUUACUACAGUUUGGAAUUGAUAGAAGUUAUACAUGUUGGAAUUUGCAUGGUGAGAAAAGUAACAGGAAUGUUGAAUCGAGGUGUAAUAUGACGUAUGCUUCAAACGACGAUUGCACAGACACAUACGAUUAUGAUCAAGUCGAAGAGAUUGCAGAAGAGCUUGAAGAAGAUCUUGAGGAUUGUCCCAAAAUGUUCGAGAGGUUGGUAAGCGAUGUAGAGAAACCGGUGUAUGAUGGUUGUACAGAAUUCACAAGAUUGUCUGCGGUGUUAAAGUUGUACAACUUAAAGGCGGACAAUGGAUGGUCGGAUAAAAGUUUCACAAAGUUAUUAGCCCUUAUGAAAGAAAUGCUACCAGAGGAUAAUGUUCUUCCCAAUCGAACGUAUGAGGCCAAAAAGAUGUUGUCCUCUACUGGUGUAA